AUUGAACGCUGGCGGCAGGCCUAACACAUGCAAGUCGAACGCGUGGCGGACGGGUGAGUAAUGUCUGGGAAACUGCCUGAUGGCUGGGGAUAACUCCUGGAAACGGUAGCUAAUCCCGCAUACCAUCCGAUGUUCCCAGAUGGCAUUAGCUAGUUGGUGGGGUAACGGCUCACCAAGUCGACGAUCCCUAGCUGGUCUGAGAGGAUGACCAGCCACACUGGAACUGAGACACGGUCCAGACUCCUACGGGAGGCAGCAGUGGGGAAUAUUGCACAAUGGGCGAAAGCCUGAUGCAGCCAUGCCGCGUGUAUGAAGAAGGCCUUCGGGUUGUAAAGUACGGUCAGCGGGGAGGCGGUACCCGCAGAAGAAGCACCGGCUAACUCCGUGCCAGCAGCCGCGGUAAUAC
rnacentral:rRNA from 1 species